GAUGAAGAACGUAGCGAAAUGCGAUAAGUAAUGUGAAUUGCAGAAUUCAGUGAAUCAUCGAAUCUUUGAACGCACCUUGCGCCCUUUGGCUAUUCCGAAGGGCAUGCCUGUUUGAGUAUCAUGAACACCUCAACUCUCAUGGCUUGCCGUGAUGAGCUUGGACUUUGGGGGUCUUGCUGGCCUGUGGUUGGCUCCUCUCAAAUGAAUCAGCUUAUCAGUGUUUGGUGGCAUCACAGGUGUGAUAACUAUCUACGCUUGUGGUUUUCCACCAGGUUAACCUUCAGUGAUGGAGGUUCGCUGGAGCUCAUAAAUGUCUCUUCUCAGUGAGGACAGCUCUUUGAACGUUUGAUCUCAAAUCAGGUAGGACUACCCGCUGAACUUAAGCAUAUCAAUAAGCGGAGGA
rnacentral:misc_RNA from 1 species